rnacentral:lncRNA from 1 species
GCAAGGGCAAAGGAAAAGAUGGGGGAAGAGCAUGAUAUGAGAUACCUUUGCUUUCGACCCCAGUGAUAUGAGAUACUUUUGUUUUUGAAGAAGUAGCGGACGAUCAGCACAUGCAUUCGUCGUGCUUGUCUCCAUAUGCUUCGAUGCAUCAUCUUCACCUGCAUCAUCUGUUUUCCAGGCAGACGUAGUAGACGAAGAGGAAGCAAAAGAUGUUGAGGAUGAGUAUCCGAGAGCACGGCUAGGUGAGCAAUCAGGCAAGGUUCCAAGCAGUCGGUUCCUUACCAGGAGCUUGAGUGGAGGUUCCGACAUAUUGCUUUCUUUAUCCUUGUCUUCGCAGUGAAGAGGGAGGACAAAGAAAAGGAUAGG